GAUGAGCGCUGGCGGCGUGCCUAAUACAUGCAAGUCGAGCGAACGGACGAGAAGCUUGCUUCUCUGAUGUUAGCGGCGGACGGGUGAGUAACACGUGGAUAACCUACCUAUAAGACUGGGAUAACUUCGGGAAACCGUAGCUAAUACCGGAUAAUAUUUUGAACCGCAUGGUUCAAAAGUGAAAGACGGUCUUGCUGUCACUUAUAGAUGGAUCCGCGCUGCAUUAGCUAGUUGGUAAGGUAACGGCUUACCAAGGCAACGAUGCAUAGCCGACCUGAGAGGGUGAUCGGCCACACUGGAACUGAGACACGGUCCAGACUCCUACGGGAGGCAGCAGUAGGGAAUCUUCCGCAAUGGGCGAAAGCCUGACGGAGCAACGCCGCGUGAGCGAUGAAGGUCUUCGGAUCGUAAAACUCUGUUAUUAGGGAAGAACAUAUGUGUAAGUAACUGUGCACAUCUUGACGGUACCUAAUCAGAAAGCCACGGCUAACUACGUG
rnacentral:rRNA from 1 species